AGCUCCAAUAGCGUAUAUUAAAGUUGCUGCAGUUAAAAAGCUCGUAGUUGUAUUUCCGAGGCAAGGGAUUAGUCCGACCUUUGGUGGGUAUUUAAUCCUCUUGCCUCGUCCUUGAGUGGUGCUUCUUGGUAUUAAGUUAUCGAGGAGAUAGCCGCUCAUCGUUUACUGUGAGAAAAUUAGAGUGUUCAAAGCAGGCUUAUGCCGUUGAAUAUACUAGCAUGGAAUAAUAAGAUAGGACCUCGGUACUAUUUUGUUGGUUUGAGAACCAAGGUAAUGAUGAAUAGGGACAGUUGGGGGUAUUCGUAUUCAGUUGUCAGAGGUGAAAUUCUUAGAUUUACGGAAGACGAACUACUGCGAAAGCAUUUACCAAGGAUGUUUUCA
rnacentral:rRNA from 1 species